rnacentral:rRNA from 1 species
AAUUUUGGGCAAUGGGCGAAAGCCUGACCCAGCAACGCCGCGUGAAGGAUGAAAUCCCUCGGGAUGUAAACUUCGCAAGAACAGGAAGAAUAAGUGAGAGUUAACACCUCUUACGAUGACGGUACUGUUUGUAAGCUCCGGCUAACUCCGUGCCAGCAGCCGCGGUAAUACGUAGGGUGCAAGCGUUGUCCGGAAUUAUUGGGCGUAAAGAGCUCGUAGGCGGUCUGUUGCGUCGGCUGUGAAAACCCGGGGCUCAACCCCGGGCCUGCAGCCGAUACGGGCAGACUAGAGUUCGGCAGGGGAGACUGGAAUUCCUGGUGUAGCGGUGAAAUGCGCAGAUAUCAGGAGGAACACCGGUGGCGAAGGCGGGUCUCUGGGCCGAUACUGACGCUGAGGAGCGAAAGCGUGGGGAGCGAAC